rnacentral:rRNA from 1 species
GACGAACGCUGGCGGCGUGCUUAACACAUGCAAGUCGAACGGAAAGGCCCUGCUUUUGUGGUGUGCUCGAGUGGCAAGCGGGAGAGACACGCGUGUGUAACCUGCCCUUGACUUUGGUAUAACUUGAGGAAACUGGGUCUAAUCCCGUAUGGGCGCCCGUGCUGCGGUGGGGGGUGGGGAGUUUUUGGGGGGUGGGGGUUGGACUCGCGGCUUCUCCGCUUGUUGGUGGGGGUGGGUCUUACAAAGGCUUUGACGGAUCGCGGGCCUGAGAGGGGGACCGGCACCAUUGGGACUGAGUUAGGGCCCAGACUCCUCCGGGAGGCAGAAGUGGGGAUUAUUGACCAAUGGUCGGAAGCCUGAGCCAGCAACCCCGCGUGCGGGAGGCCGGCCUCCGGGUUGUAAACGCUUUCCGUCAGGGACGAAGCGUGUGUGACGGUAAUGGGUAAAGAAGCACCGGCUAACUACGUG